rnacentral:rRNA from 1 species
AUUGAACGCUGGCGGCAGGCUUAACACAUGCAAGUCGAGCGGGGAAAAGUAGCUUGCUACUGGACCUAGCGGCGGACGGGUGAGUAAUGCUUAGGAAUCUGCCUAUUAGUGGGGGACGACAUCUCGAAAGGGAUGCUAAUACCGCAUACGUCCUACGGGAGAAAGCAGGGGACCUUCGGGCCUUGCGCUAAUAGAUGAGCCUAAGUCGGAUUAGCUAGUUGGUGGGGUAAAGGCCUACCAAGGCGACGAUCUGUAGCGGGUCUGAGAGGAUGAUCCGCCACACUGGGACUGAGACACGGCCCAGACUCCUACGGGAGGCAGCAGUGGGGAAUAUUGGACAAUGGGGGGAACCCUGAUCCAGCCAUGCCGCGUGUGUGAAGAAGGCCUUUUGGUUGUAAAGCACUUUAAGCGAGGAGGAGGCUACCGAGAUUAAUACUCUUGGAUAGUGGACGUUACUCGCAGAAUAAGCACCGGCUAACUCUGUGCCAGCAGCCGCCGUAA